CAAUAACCUCUACGAUAUGCUUAGAUAACGUUGGGAAACUAUCUCUAGACAAACAGAGAUCAUGGAGAGAGGGAAUAUGUUUUCCUGUAUUUUUUUUAUUUUAAAAUUAUAGAAAUCCACUUCAAAACUGUUUUAGAGAUAAAUUUAUUUCAUAUAUCUUUUUAAUAAAAAACAUUUCUAUUUCUUUUGUGUUAGUUCAUUAUUUUUCUGAUAAUAUAUAUUAGUUGAUUCUAUCUUGAAACAUUAACCACUAUAUAGACCUUUCAUAGAGUUUUGGCUUGUGAUGAGAGCAAUACUUUAUCCUAUUUCUUCUAUCAAGUAUAUAAGAACGUUCGACUGACUUCAUUUUGGGUACUAGUAGGAAUUUUAUUUUCAAGUUUAUAGAGUUUCACAAUCUCCAUAAAUAAAUCACAAUCUCUAUGACUAAAACACAGAUUUGUGGCACCAGGAUUGGCAGGCGACAUAAGCUGGUUGAACGGAAGCAGAGUCCGCAGACAUUCACCAAACGUUUGGGCUGCAAAGUUGUGAGUAUGUCUCUGUUUGUAUCUGUAUCUGAACUGUUUUUUGACAUGUUUUGAACUCUAAAUCUCUCAAGGUGCAUGGCUGCUUCACACUAUGCACAUCGAGGAACCAUUCUUUUCUCUUGCGGUGAUGAUAAGAAAGUAUUAGAAAGCAUAAAAUUCGAGGGCUUACAUCCUACAACUGACUACUGAUAAGUCAUAUGAAUAUGAUUAAGGGGUCUUGUGGUCAAAGAUGGGCAUGCAUGAUUGUCUCAAACUGUUGAGGAACUAUGGAGUGGAUGUGGGCUUCGCGCAUUGAAGCUACGCAAUCUCUUUCUUCGAAUACUAUCGGAUUCUGACUUGGUACUGCUGUUUGUGGGUAAAUAACACUUAAAACCAUGUUACAAAAGCUGAACAAUCAUCAAUCCUCAGCAGUGGCAACUUUAUCAUUGGGUAUCCUUGCUCUCAGCCAAGCCAACUCUGCAAAUCCGAAGUUGAUUCCAAUAAUUCGGCUUCCAACCCUGCUUCUUCAGCUUGGUGGUCCUUGAUUAAUUGUCACAGCUUAUUCUAUGGAAGACAACGAAUUAUAGCGAAGGCACCUUCUUGAGCUAGUAGUCCAAGUCGGUGUGGCUUCUUAUGUCUUGUUCAGGUUACGGAGCAGGAAUGCCAUCAUGCUAGUAGCCAUUCCCGUCUUUAUUUCAGGAAUAAUCAAGUAUGGAGAAAGGAUGCGGGCUUUCAGGUUAAUUAGCAAGUUCCCAGACUUUUGAGCACUACACAGACAAUCAAUUAUUCUUCCAGCCACACUUCUGUUAGAACAUCGCUUCCGAAUUUGCAUGCAACAACAGCGUAUGAGGAUAGAUAUCUCUAUGAAGCUCGUCUUUUGUUCAGGAUGCUGUUCACAAAUGUAGUUCUUGGCAUUGAUGAUCAAAAGAUAACCUACGAUUUGAUUUCCAAAAAGAAUAUAUACCAAAUUAAGAAGGCUUAAGUUGAUAGAAGUCCAGGUGGGAAUAUUCAUGUAUGAUCUGCACUAUUCUAAGGUGAGAAAGGUUUCUUUUCCACGCAUCAUCCUCCAUUCUAUCACCUUCUUAUCCUCUGUUUCUGCAUUAGUUGCCUUCUCAACAAUAACCACAAAGAAGAACGUCUAUUCUAAUAGCGACACGAUGCUAUCUUACUUGUUGCUGCUCGGAGCUGUCUUGCUUGAGAGUUAAUCUAUCAUCGUGUUUUUUUGGUCGGACAAGACAGUGCUUUGGCUUAGUAGUGGUCAGAUAGCGGGUAAUUUUCUUUAAGGAACCAAUGGUUUUUUUAAGAAUCACAAAAGAUAGUCAGGAUCCAUGGCUCAACAUGACCUAAUUCUAAGUACCCUGUUUAGUAAACCAGUGAUCAAGGCUCUUAGCAAGCAUUUGCCUGGAAAACUGGAACGUUCAUGGCAGGGAGGAUGUGGAUGAUGAUUUAAAAGAAUUGAUCUUCAUCAAUCAUGCCUUGCAUAAACGUUCAAGGAUACCAGUGAUUUCAACGUCCUAAAGCAGCUAUAAUAAUUAGCAGAGAGAGGUGACGUGGCACAUUUCGAAGGAAGGAUUUCUUCGAAAAAAAUUGGAUGGAGGGUGGUUGGUGUAGAAUUCAUUAAUAGCCUCCUUUCUUGGCACAUUGUUACUCGUGUCUGUUAUUGUUGGGUCUGUGAUAAAUUGUGUCCUUGAGUGGGAGAAAAUAAAUAGCCAUGUAAUUAGUUCAUAUAAAAUUUUAAUGCUGUUAUAUUUUA